rnacentral:rRNA from 1 species
AAAAGGUCUCGUUGGUGACCAGCGGAGGGUCAUUACCGAGUUUACAACUCCCAAACCCAAUGUGAACCAUACCAAACUGUUGCCUCGGCGGGGUCACGCCCCGGGUGCGUCGCAGCCCCGGAACCAGGCGCCCGCCGGAGGGACCAACCAAACUCUUUACUGUAGUCCCCUCGCGGACGUUAUUUCUUACAGCUCUGAGCAAAAAUUCAAAAUGAAUCAAAACUUUCAACAACGGAUCUCUUGGUUCUGGCAUCGAUGAAGAACGCAGCGAAAUGCGAUAAGUAAUGUGAAUUGCAGAAUUCAGUGAAUCAUCGAAUCUUUGAACGCACAUUGCGCCCGCCAGUAUUCUGGCGGGCAUGCCUGUCCGAGCGUCAUUUCAACCCUCGAACCCCUCCGGGGGUCCGGCGUUGGGGAUCGGGAACCCCUCAGACGGGAUCCCGGCCCCGAAAUACAGUGGCGGUCUCGCCGCAGCCUCUCCUGCGCAGUAGUUUGCACAACUCGCACCGGGAGCGCGGCGCGUCCACGUCCGUAAAACACCCAACUUUCUGAAAUGUUGACCUCGGAUCAGGUAGGAAUACCCGCUGAACUUAAGCAUAUCAAUAAGCGGAGGA